rnacentral:rRNA from 1 species
UUGACACAGGUGAUGAGGAGAGAAUCCUAAGGCCGGCGGAAGAAGCAUUGUUAAGGAACUCGGCAAAAUGACCCCGUAACUUCGGGAGAAGGGGUGCCUGCUAACGCAGGCCGCAGAGAAUAGGCUCAAGCAACUGUUUAGCAAAAACACUGGUCUAUGCGAAACCGAAAGGUGAAGUAUAUGGGCUGACGCCUGCCCGGUGCUGGAAGGUUAAGAGGAGAGGUUAGCGUAAGCGAAGCUUUGAAUUUAAGCCCCAGUAAACGGCGGCCGUAACAAUAACGGUCCUAAGGUAGCGAAAUUCCUUGUCGGGUAAGUUCCGACCCGCACGAAAGGCGUAAUGAUUUGAGCACUGUCUCGACAAUGCAUCCGGUGAAAUUGAAGUACCAGUGAAGAUGCUGGUUACCCGCGCCAGGACGGAAAGACCCCAUGGAGCUUUACUCCAGUUUGGUACUGGGAUUCGGUACUGCAUGUACAGGAUAGGUGGGAGACUAAGAACUUGGGACGCCAGUUUCAAGGGAGUCGCUGUUGGGAUACCACCCUUGCAGUAUUGGAUUUCUAACCAGCCGCCGUGAUCCGGCGGUGGGACAAUGCCAGGCGGGGAGUUUGACUGGGGCGGUCGCCUCCGAAAGGGUAUCGGAGGCGCUCAAAGGUUCCCUCAGAAUGGUUGGAAACCAUUUGAAGAGUGCAAAGGCAGAAGGGAGCUUGACUGCGACACCGACGGGUGGAGCAGGUAGGAAACUAGGACUUAGUGAUCCGGUGGCAUAAAGUGGGAUUGCCAUCGCUCAACGGAUAAAAGCUACCCUGGGAUAACAGGCUUAUCACUCCCAAGAGUUCACGUCGACGGAGUGGUUUGGCACCUCGAUGUCGGCUCAUCGCAUCCUGGGGCUGUAGCAGGUCCCAAGGGUUGGGCUGUUCGCCCAUUAAAGCGGUACGCGAGCUGGGUUCAGAACGUCGUGAGACAGUUCGGUCCCUAUCCGGCGCGGGCGGAGGAUAUUUGAGAGGAGCUGUCCUUAGUACGAGAGGACCGGGAUGGACGGACCACUGGUGUAUCUGCUGUCGACCAACGGCAUGGCAGAGUAGCCAAGUCCGGAAGAGAUAAACGCUGAAGGCAUCUAAGCGUGAAGCCCCCCUCAAGAUGAGAUAUCCCUCACAUAAGUGAGUAAGAUCCCUUGAAGACUACAAGGUAGAUAGGGCAGAGGUGGAAGCACGGUAACGUGUGGAGCUGACUGUUACUAAUCGAUCGAGGGCUUGACCG